rnacentral:rRNA from 1 species
CCUACGGGCGGCAGCAGUGAGGAAUAUUGGUCAAUGGGCGGGAGCCUGAACCAGCCAAGUCGCGUGAGGGACGACGGUCCUAUGGAUUGUAAACCUCUUUAGGCGCGGAGCAAUGCCGUGCACUUGUGCCCGGAGGGAGAGUACCUGCAGACUAAGCAUCGGCUAACUCCGGGCCAGCAGCCGCGGGAAUACAGAGGAUGCGAGCGGUAUCCGGAUUUAUUGGGUUUAAAGGGUGCGUAGGCGGAGUGUUAAGUCAGCGGUAAGAGGUCCGGGCUCAACUCGGGCCGGCCGGUGAAUCUGGGGAUCUUGAGUGGGCGAGAAGUAGGCGGAAAGCGUGGUGGAGCGGUGAAAUGCA